AUGAUACUUCCUCAAUUUGCUAUGCCUCAUUAGCAUUGUGGCUUAUUGCAGGGAACGACACAGUUCCCAGGCAUUCCCUCAUGGCCUGUCCUGAUGGAUAAUGGAAAUAAAGAAAGGAAAGGCACGGGUGACACAGUGCUCUCACAACAUUUAUCAGGGGCAUAGUUAGUUGGGUUAGGAACCAUCUCUGCUUGGAAAGCCACCAGGAGGAGGCCUGGCCUUCCCAGGAGAUGACCAACAGCAGUGAAGAGUCUCUCACAACCACUUGGCUACCUCUUUCUCCUCCACAGCUGGGAUUAAUGCCCAAUUCUGUUUUUGGGAGAGCCAUAAUUUCAAGCUGAUAAGUGUUAAGAUGAAUCAGAGGGAAACAAGACUGGGAAAAAAAGGAUUCAUAAUUAAUGCUAGCUGCGAGUAGACAUCUGGUCAGAGAAAGAGGCAUAAAAUCAUGGAGCAGUUUUCUGCAGUAUUCAAGACGUGGUUAUGACAGACACUUACAUGCUGGCGAAGUCCCACAUAUGUUAUCGGCAAUUCUGCAGCAUGGUUACAAGGAAAAUUGUUUGCAUAUUAAUUAUUACAUCAAAAGAAUAAAAUAGUGCUCCCUGAUCCAGAAGACACUUUGGAAGUUGUCAAGAAAAGCUCCAAGUGGAGGGACUAUGUAUAAGGUAAAUAGUGUCUUUUUCAGGAAAAAAAAUAAAAAAAACUGAGGCCCUGCGAAGUGCUGGUUA
rnacentral:lncRNA from 1 species